UACGUAGGUGGCAAGCGUUGUCCGGAUUUAUUGGGCGUAAAGCGAGCGCAGGCGGUUCCUUCAGUCUGAUGUGAAUGCCCCCGGCUCAACCGGGGAAGGGCAUUGGAAACUGGGGAACUGGAGUGCAGAAGAGGAGAGUGGAAUUCCAUGUGUAGCGGUGAAAUGCGUAGAUAUAUGAAGGAACACCAGUGGCGAAGGCGACUCUCUGGUCUGUAACUGACGCUGAGGCGCGAAAGCGUGGGGAGCAAACAGG
rnacentral:rRNA from 1 species